AAGAACUUUUUCAUAAGAUGUAGAGCCAGAUUUAAUGAUCUCUUGGAUUAUGCCCGAAAGAAAUUGGUAAAACCUAAGUGGAUUCCUGAGCCCGCAUGGCAACUGUAUCUUCGCCAUUGGAGUAGCGCAGAAUACCAAUUGUUGAGUGAAAAAGAAAAGAAAGCCCGAGCAUCAUCCAAGGGUGGCUCCCUACAUACUACAAGUGCCAUAAGUACUUUUCCUGUGAUGAAAUAAUGGAAAACGUAAAGGGUACGAAAAUACCACAUUAUGAGCUAUACGAGGAGACUCAUGUGAUGAAAAAAAAAGAACCCAACUGAUGAAGAUGUCUGGGUUGAAGCUCAUGCAAAAGCUGUCCAUGACGAAUAUAUGCGUCUUGUUGGUGAGUAUCAUAGUAGUCAGCCUCCUGAAAGUCAGGGUGACCCAAUAACCCAACAUGUAGAAGAGGAGUUAUGGGAAAAAGUUGUGGGUGCUGCAUAUAGAGGCCAUUUGGUGAGAUACCACAAAAACCUUUUUGGCGAUAAUAUUAGGUGUUUAUCCAGCCCUUCUUACUCUAGCUCUUCAGUUGAUAGAGAAACGAUUGAAAGACUACAAAAUACGGUUUCUCAACUCACUGAAGAGCUUGCUGAAUAGAGAGAGAUAGAAGAAUACAGAGAAGGAAACAACAUCACAAUUCAAUAAGCUGUAGUAGCAGAUGAGCUCUUUCAUUAGGACUGCGGGGGUUAUUCCUCCGUGUUCUGGUGAUGCAGUUCGGGCUGCAAAGGGUCUAGGCCUCCUGGAUGAUUUUAGCACGGAUGAUGAUAUGGAAGACGAAGACGAAUUCGAUAAUGAUGACUUUUAUUUUUUUAUUUUUUG